AACGAACGCUGGCGGCAUGCCUAACACAUGCAAGUCGAACGGGAUCCUAGCUUGCUAGGUGAGAGUGGCGGACGGGUGAGUAACACGUGGGAAUCUGCCUUUUGGUUCGGGAUAACCGCGGGAAACUGCGGCUAAUACCGAAUGCCCUCGAGAGAGGAAAGAUUUAUCGCCAGAAGAGGAGCCCGCGUCCGAUUAGGUAGUUGGUGGGGUAAAGGCCUACCAAGCCGACGAUCGGUAGCUGGUCUGAGAGGAUGAUCAGCCACACUGGGACUGAGAUACGGCCCAGACUCCUACGGGAGGCAGCAGUGGGAAUAUUGGACAAUGGGGGCAACCCUGAUCCAGCAAUGCCGCGUGAGUGAUGAAGGCCUUAGGGUUGUAAAGCUCUUUUGCCGGGGACGAUAAUGACGGUACCCGGAGAAUAGGUCCCGGCUAACUUCGUGCCAGCAGCCGCGGU
rnacentral:rRNA from 1 species